UACGUAGGGUGCAAGCGUUAUCCGGAAUUAUUGGGCGUAAAGAGCUCGUAGGCGGUUUGUCGCGUCUGCUGUGAAAACCCGGGGCUCAACUCCGGGCCUGCAGCCGAUACGGGCAGACUAGAGUUCGGCAGGGGAGACUGGAAUUCCUGGUGUAGCGGUGAAAUGCGCAGAUAUCAGGAGGAACACCGGUGGCGAAGGCGGGUCUCUGGGCCGAUACUGACGCUGAGGAGCGAAAGCGUGGGGAGCGAACAGG
rnacentral:rRNA from 1 species